rnacentral:rRNA from 1 species
UUAAGCGACUAAGCGUACACGGUGGAUGCCCUGGCAGUCAGAGGCGAUGAAGGACGUGCUAAUCUGCGAUAAGCGUCGGUAAGGUGAUAUGAACCGUUAUAACCGGCGAUUUCCGAAUGGGGAAACCCAGUGUGUUUCGACACACUAUCAUUAACUGAAUCCAUAGGUUAAUGAGGCGAACCGGGGGAACUGAAACAUCUAAGUACCCCGAGGAAAAGAAAUCAACCGAGAUUCCCCCAGUAGCGGCGAGCGAACGGGGAGCAGCCCAGAGCCUGAAUCAGUGUGUGUGUUAGUGGAAGCGUCUGGAAAGGCGCGCGAUACAGGGUGACAGCCCCGUACACAAAAAUGCACAUGCUGUGAGCUCGAUGAGUAGGGCGGGACACGUGGUAUCCUGUCUGAAUAUGGGGGGACCAUCCUCCAAGGCUAAAUACUCCUGACUGACCGAUAGUGAACCAGUACCGUGAGGGAAAGGCGAAAAGAACCCCGGCGAGGGGAGUGAAAAAGAACCUGAAACCGUGUACGUACAAGCAGUGGGAGCACGCUUAGGCGUGUGACUGCGUACCUUUUGUAUAAUGGGUCAGCGACUUAUAUUCUGUAGCAAGGUUAACCGAAUAGGGGAGCCGAAGGGAAACCGAGUCUUAACUGGGCGUUAAGUUGCAGGGUAUAGACCCGAAACCCGGUGAUCUAGCCAUGGGCAGGUUGAAGGUUGGGUAACACUAACUGGAGGACCGAACCGACUAAUGUUGAAAAAUUAGCGGAUGACUUGUGGCUGGGGGUGAAAGGCCAAUCAAACCGGGAGAUAGCUGGUUCUCCCCGAAAGCUAUUUAGGUAGCGCCUCGUGAAUUCAUCUCCGGGGGUAGAGCACUGUUUCGGCAAGGGGGUCAUCCCGACUUACCAACCCGAUGCAAACUGCGAAUACCGGAGAAUGUUAUCACGGGAGACACACGGCGGGUGCUAACGUCCGUCGUGAAGAGGGAAACAACCCAGACCGCCAGCUAAGGUCCCAAAGUCAUGGUUAAGUGGGAAACGAUGUGGGAAGGCCCAGACAGCCAGGAUGUUGGCUUAGAAGCAGCCAUCAUUUAAAGAAAGCGUAAUAGCUCACUGGUCGAGUCGGCCUGCGCGGAAGAUGUAACGGGGCUAAACCAUGCACCGAAGCUGCGGCAGCGACACUAUGUGUUGUUGGGUAGGGGAGCGUUCUGUAAGCCUGUGAAGGUGUGCUGUGAGGCAUGCUGGAGGUAUCAGAAGUGCGAAUGCUGACAUAAGUAACGAUAAAGCGGGUGAAAAGCCCGCUCGCCGGAAGACCAAGGGUUCCUGUCCAACGUUAAUCGGGGCAGGGUGAGUCGACCCCUAAGGCGAGGCCGAAAGGCGUAGUCGAUGGGAAACAGGUUAAUAUUCCUGUACUUGGUGUUACUGCGAAGGGGGGACGGAGAAGGCUAUGUUGGCCGGGCGACGGUUGUCCCGGUUUAAGCGUGUAGGCUGGUUUUCCAGGCAAAUCCGGAAAAUCAAGGCUGAGGCGUGAUGACGAGGCACUACGGUGCUGAAGCAACAAAUGCCCUGCUUCCAGGAAAAGCCUCUAAGCAUCAGGUAACAUCAAAUCGUACCCCAAACCGACACAGGUGGUCAGGUAGAGAAUACCAAGGCGCUUGAGAGAACUCGGGUGAAGGAACUAGGCAAAAUGGUGCCGUAACUUCGGGAGAAGGCACGCUGAUAUGUAGGUGAGGUCCCUCGCGGAUGGAGCUGAAAUCAGUCGAAGAUACCAGCUGGCUGCAACUGUUUAUUAAAAACACAGCACUGUGCAAACACGAAAGUGGACGUAUACGGUGUGACGCCUGCCCGGUGCCGGAAGGUUAAUUGAUGGGGUCAGCGCAAGCGAAGCUCUUGAUCGAAGCCCCGGUAAACGGCGGCCGUAACUAUAACGGUCCUAAGGUAGCGAAAUUCCUUGUCGGGUAAGUUCCGACCUGCACGAAUGGCGUAAUGAUGGCCAGGCUGUCUCCACCCGAGACUCAGUGAAAUUGAACUCGCUGUGAAGAUGCAGUGUACCCGCGGCAAGACGGAAAGACCCCGUGAACCUUUACUAUAGCUUGACACUGAACAUUGAGCCUUGAUGUGUAGGAUAGGUGGGAGGCUUUGAAGUGUGGACGCCAGUCUGCAUGGAGCCGACCUUGAAAUACCACCCUUUAAUGUUUGAUGUUCUAACGUUGACCCGUAAUCCGGGUUGCGGACAGUGUCUGGUGGGUAGUUUGACUGGGGCGGUCUCCUCCUAAAGAGUAACGGAGGAGCACGAAGGUUGGCUAAUCCUGGUCGGACAUCAGGAGGUUAGUGCAAUGGCAUAAGCCAGCUUGACUGCGAGCGUGACGGCGCGAGCAGGUGCGAAAGCAGGUCAUAGUGAUCCGGUGGUUCUGAAUGGAAGGGCCAUCGCUCAACGGAUAAAAGGUACUCCGGGGAUAACAGGCUGAUACCGCCCAAGAGUUCAUAUCGACGGCGGUGUUUGGCACCUCGAUGUCGGCUCAUCACAUCCUGGGGCUGAAGUAGGUCCCAAGGGUAUGGCUGUUCGCCAUUUAAAGUGGUACGCGAGCUGGGUUUAGAACGUCGUGAGACAGUUCGGUCCCUAUCUGCCGUGGGCGCUGGAGAACUGAGGGGGGCUGCUCCUAGUACGAGAGGACCGGAGUGGACGCAUCACUGGUGUUCGGGUUGUCAUGCCAAUGGCACUGCCCGGUAGCUAAAUGCGGAAGAGAUAAGUGCUGAAAGCAUCUAAGCACGAAACUUGCCCCGAGAUGAGUUCUCCCUGACUCCUUGAGAGUCCUGAAGGAACGUUGAAGACGACGACGUUGAUAGGCCGGGUGUGUAAGCGCAGCGAUGCGUUGAGCUAACCGGUACUAAUGAACCGUGAGGCUUAACCUU